rnacentral:rRNA from 1 species
UACAGAGGGUGCGAGCGUUAUUCGGAAUUACUGGGCGUAAAGCGCACGUAGGCGGUUCGGUAAGUCUGAUGUGAAAGCCCUCGGCUCAACUGGGGAAGUGCAUCGGAUACUGCCGGACUGGAGUACAGGAGGGGAGGACGGAAUUCCUGGUGUAGAGGUGAAAUUCGUAGAUAUCAGGAGGAACAACGGCGGCGAAGGCGGUUCUCUGGACUGUAACUGACGCUGAGGUGCGAAAGCGUGGGGAGCAAACAGG